rnacentral:rRNA from 1 species
UACGGAGGGUGCGAGCGUUGUCCGGAAUCACUGGGCGUAAAGGGCGCGUAGGCGGCUUUUUAAGGGUGCGGUGAAAGCCCGGGGCUUAACCCCGGGUCGGCCGUGCCGACUGAAAAGCUGAAGCACUGUAGAGGCAGGUGGAAUUCCGGGUGUAGCGGUGGAAUGCGUAGAGAUCCGGAAGAACACCAGUGGCGAAGGCGGCCUGCUGGGCAGUUGCUGACGCUGAGGCGCGACAGCGUGGGGGAGCAAACAGG